UCAGAACGAACGCUGGCGGCGCGUUUAAGCAUGCAAGUCGAGCGGCAAGGGCCUUCGGGCCCCUAGAGCGGCGGACGGGUGAGUAACACGUGGACAAUCUGCCCCCCGGCCCGGGAUAGCCCAGGGAAACCUGGAUUAAUACCGGAUGAGACGGGACCCGCGAUGGCGGGAUCCGGGAAAGGCGCUGCGGCGCCGCCGGGGGAUGAGUCUGCGUCCCAUUAGCUAGACGGCGGGGUAACGGCCCACCGUGGCGACGAUGGGUAGCCGGCCUGAGAGGGUGGACGGCCACAUUGGAACUGAGACACGGUCCAGACUCCUACGGGAGGCAGCAGCUAAGAAUCUUCCGCAAUGGGCGAAAGCCUGACGGAGCGACGCCCGCGUGAACGAAGAAGGCCGUGAGGUUGUAAAGUUCUUUUCGGGAGGGGGAACAACCGUGGCAGGGAAUGGCCGCGGGAUGACGUGAAUCCCGGAAUAAGCCCCGGCUAACUACGUGCCAGCCGCAGC
rnacentral:rRNA from 1 species